rnacentral:piRNA from 1 species
UCUUGCAAGAGAACUUUUUCUGUUG